GAUGAACGCUGGCGGCGUGCCUAAUACAUGCAAGUCGAGCGAACAGACGAGGAGCUUUCUCCUCUGACGUUAGCGGCGGACGGGUGAGUAACACGUGGAUAACCUACCUAUAAGACUGGGAUAACUUCGGGAACCCGGAGCUAAUACCGGAUAAUAUAUUGAACCGCAUGGUUCAAUAGUGAAAGACGGUUUUGCUGUCACUUAUAGAUGGAUCCGCGCCGCAUUAGCUAGUUGGUAAGGUAACGGCUUACCAAGGCGACGAUGCGUAGCCGACCUGAGAGGGUGAUCGGCCACACUGGAACUGAGACACGGUCCAGACUCCUACGGGAGGCAGCAGUAGGGAAUCUUCCGCAAUGGGCGAAAGCCUGACGGAGCAACGCCGCGUGAGUGAUGAAGGUCUUCGGAUCGUAAAACUCUGUUAUUAGGGAAGAACAAAUGUGUAAGUAACUAUGCACGUCUUGACGGUACCUAAUCAGAAAGCCACGGCUAACUACGUG
rnacentral:rRNA from 1 species